CAAGUGUCAGUGUAACGUCCAGUAUUGAUGAGAUUUGUCGCGUGUAGUAUUCGUUGUAUUUUGUAUAAAAAAAAAGAAAACGUUUGUAGUUAGGUUAAGUGUAACGUCCCCAAAAUCCCACGAACGCAGCCAUCACUGCACUGCCCUAUACAAGGACGACGGUAGUUCUGCUAGCCACCACCAGGCUGCACAGGACUGCACGAAUGGGCGGCCAUGGGGGUGGCGAACUGGGUGGCCAUGAUGAGGAGGAACUUCGGCACUUACGACGGGUCAAUGGCCAAUGGUUCGGGGUCAACGAUCUUCAAAACGGAGGAUCAUUAGCCUGGUGAUCUUCAGAGACAACAGUCAUUUGAAAAGUUGGUAGAAGGAAAGUUUGUUGAAGAAAAGUAAAGUUGGAAGGAAGUUUAGUUGGAGAAGUUAAUAGAAAGAGUUGAAAGCACGGAAAAGUGGAAAGAAGGAGAAAAGGAAAGUGGAGAAGUUGGAGCAAUCCGGACAUCCAGGACCUCGCGGUUUUUAUUUUAAAACCGAACUUUGCGGUAUCUUUUGGAGCCAUACCGCAGCGUAGACGCUACUCACCUUUUUGUAGUGCGUCCGCAUUACCCCUGUACCCGAUACAACCAUCAAGCGCGCCGACGAACCCAGGCUUUUUCCAGUGACUCUACGGAUCACUGAAGCCUCGAGUCCGUCAACACACUCGAGGGGCGCACGGGACAGGAGGAAGGUCCGCGAGAGGCUGCAGCCAACGGAAGAGAGAGGAAAGGAGAAGAAUUGCCCGCCCCCUGGCCCAGGAAGGAGAGAAGGAGCUAGUGGACAGGCGAAAGGAGCGGCAGCGUAGGCGUGCAGUGUGCGGGGCCCCGAAGAACGAAGAAAAGUGAAGAAAGUAAGGUAGGACUAGUCCUUAAGAACGUGGGAGGCGUCGUCCAGUGUUAAGGGCGGACGCCAAAAAGCUAGGAGGGAGAAAGCUAGAGGAAAGUGGUAGGAAAGGAGGACGUCAGGAAGUAGGAAUAAAAGUGCACGAGACCGACAAUACAGGGAGUUUUCUUAAUCGAACCUAUAAGUGUUUUCUUUCGCGGAGUGUCACGAGCGUCUUGCCGACCCUGAGGCUUGAAGACGGGGGUUUCAUCCUUGCUGGGAGUAACACGGCCCUUGCUAAGUUACA